rnacentral:rRNA from 1 species
AUGACUGGGCCACGGUCUGUGAGCGCCAGCACCCUUGUUCCUUCUGACUGGGAUGUUUACGUUGGAAUUUCGAGAUCUCGAAAAAGAAACGUGGGAGUUUCGUUGGUGGGCUGCAAACACGCUGCCUGCCGUCGGAUGCAGCCCACGAACGCCACGCUGGGACGUUCCCUCUGCAGCCCAGGCUCGCUCCCCCGCAGUUCAAGUUUUUGGCCUUUGGGACGCAACAAUGCUAUUCCGCCAAACCUUAGCCCUGAUGAUAUAGCAUACAUCUUUGCUGGAUAUGCACCUCUUAGUAUUCGCCUUGUUCAGCAUGCAGUGAGGUCUGGAUGGCGAUCUAUUGAAGAACUGUUGAAAUUAUUGCCAGGUCCUCAUAUGGAUUUGAAAAGAGGUGUCUCGACCAUUAAUUCAUCAGAAUUACUACCAGGUUCCGGGUCACAACAGAGUACCGACAGGGUUGGUCAUCGCUCCCUGGUUCUGGUUAUAUUUAUUGGCGGUGUAACAUCUGCUGAGAUUGCUGCGCUUCGAUUUCUUAGUGCACAGGAAGGAAUGGGCUAUGACUUCCUGGUUGCAACAACAAAGGUUAUCACUGGCAACACAUUACUGAGACCAAUUAUAGCCAGCAGCAAAGAGGGAAUGAUUUAG